GUAAUAAUUAAUAAUAAUAUAUUUUUUAAAAACUAAAUUAAGAACACGUACUCAAGUACAUAUUCUAAUAACUGCUCAUACUUCUUUCGUGCUAAAUUUCCCAUUCCUGCGCAUAAAGAACUUGGUUUCCUCUGGUUUUCUUUAUCUUUCUUUGGUAAGCUCUUUUGAAAGUUUUCAAAGCUUCAUCCUCACUCUCCCAUCAGAAUUGAAGGUGAUCUUCUUUAGAAAGGUUGAAAGGUCACUCCCAUUCAACCCUUCUCUGGUUUUUAAACUUUUUCUUAUUUUCUCGUAUGUCGUAUGCUUAGGGUGUUCUACUUUUUAGUUGAAAAUUGUAAGUUUAAUAUUUAUAAUGAUUACUUAUAAUUUUUACUAACCAUGGUUCAAAGAGACAGUGCUUCUAUAUUUUACGAGGACUAUUGAGGAAAGAAGAACAAAUUAAAUUUAAAGAAUGAGAGACAAUAGAGCAGAGUAAAUUUCAAACCAAUUAAACUAAGCAAGGGCACAAGAAAACAAGUUCAAGAGGAUAUGAUAUAAUCCACCUCCACAGAGUUCAGAAAAAUCAAAGAAAGACACAACAAAGCCCAUGCAGCAAGCUUUGCCAGUGAUUCGGAUGGACUAAUUGCAGUUUGAUGAAGAGAGUGGACAACACAUUAUUUCUAUGAAUUUUUUGUUUUUAUUUCAUUUAAUUGUCUUGCAAAUCAAAGUGAUAAAUUAGAAAUUCACAUUGUCGAUAUACACAAUUUGACAUAUUUACUGUCUUCAUUGUAAUAGUUUAUGUAGAGCUUUGUAAUACUUAAAUAAUUUUGUAUUAAUUUUAAAUUAUGUUCUAUAACUUUUACAUUUAAUGCGAAAAAAUUUAUGCAAAUUCUAUUUGAUGUACGUAUUUGAUUUUUUAUUUAUUGUUUUUUUUAUAUAUAUAUAUUGGGUGGCAAUACUAAUACUAAUGUAU